UGGGGAAUAUUGCACAAUGGGCGAAGGCCUGAUGCAGCAACGCCGCGUGAGUGAUGAAGGCCUUCGGGUUGUAAAGCUCUGUCUUCUGGGACGAUAAUGACGGUACCAGAGGAGGAAGCCACGGCUAACUACGUGCCAGCAGCCGCGGUAAUACGUAGGUGGCAAGCGUUGUCCGGAUUUACUGGGCGUAAAGGAUGCGUAGGCGGAUACUUAAGUCAGAUGUGAAAAUCCCGGGCUUAACUUGGGAACUGCAUUUGAAACUGGGUAUCUAGAGUGCGGGAGAGGAUAGUGCAAUUCCUAGUGUAGCGGUGAAAUGCGUAGAGAUUAGGAAGAACACCAGUGGCGAAGGCGACUUUCUGGACCGUAACUGACGCUGAGGCAUGAAAGCGUGGGGAGCAAACA
rnacentral:rRNA from 1 species